GACGAACGCUGGCGGCGUGCCUUAGACAUGCAAGUCGAACGGAGUAGCAAUACUCAGUGGCGAACGGCGGAGUAAUGCAUAAGCAACGUGCCCCAAAGACUGGGAUAGUCGAGGGAAACCACGGGUAAUACCAGAUGUGGUCCUUAGAUGGCAUCAUCGAGGGAUUAAAUCGAGCAAUCGGCUUUGGGAGCGGCUUAUGUCCUAUCAGCUUGUUGGUGAGGUAACGGCUCACCAAGGCUACGACGGGUAGGGGGUCUGAGAGGAUGAUCCCCCCGAGUGGGACUGCGACACGGCCCACACACCUACGGGUGGCAGCAGUUUGGAAUAUUGCACAAUGGGGGAAACCCUGAUGCAGCGACGCCGCGUGGAGGACGAAGGAUCUAGGUCUGUAAACUCCUUUUGCCAGGAAAGACUUAGGACGGUACCUGGCGAAUAAGCCCCGGCUAACUACGUGCCAGCAGCCGCGGUAAGACGUAGGGGGCGAGCGUUGUCCGGAUUUACUGGGCGUAAAGAGCGCGUAGGCGGCUAGUUAAGUGAGAAGUGAAAUCUCCAGGGCUCAACCCGGAAACUGCUUUUCAUACUGGCCAGCUGGAGGGACGCAGGGGUGACUGGAAUUCCCGGUGUAGCGGUGAAAUGCAUUGAUAUCGGGAGGAACUCCAACAGCGAAGGCAGGUCACUGGGCGUUUCCUGACGCUGAGGCGCGAAAGCGUGGGUAGCAAACAGGAUUAGAUACCCUGGUAGUCCACGCCCUAAACGAUGGAUACUAGACGUAAGAGGUAUCGACCCCUCUUGUGUCGCAGCUAACGCAUUAAGUAUCCCGCCUGGGGUAGUACGGGCCGCAAAGUUGAAACUCAAAUGAAUUGACGGGGACCCGCACAAGCGGUGGAGCAUGUGGAUUAAUUCGAUACUAACCGAAGAACCUUACCCAGGUUUGACAUCGAUGGUAAGCCCGAGAGAUCGGGCCCUCUCUCACAAGGAGACCUGAAGACAGAUGUUGCAUGGCUGUCGUCAGCUCGUGCCGUGAGGUGUACGGUUAAGUCCGCCAACGAGCGCAACCCUCGUCCUAUGUUGCCAGCGAGUAAUGUCGGGAACUCAUAGGAGACCGCCGGUGUAAGCCGGAGGAAGGUGGGGAUGAUGUCAAGUCAGCAUGGCUCUUACGCCUGGGGCUUCACACAUGCUACAAUGGGCGCAACAAAGGGCACCGAAGCCGUGAGGUGGAGGCAAUCCCAAAAAUACGCCCCCAGUUCAGAUUGCAGUCUGCAACUCGACUGCAUGAAGGCGGAAUCGCUAGUAAACGCAGGUCAGCUAUACUGCGUUGAAUACGUUCCCGGGUCUUGUACACACCGCCCGUCAAGUCACCUGAAUUGUCUUCACCCGAAGUCCGUGGCCUAACCGUAAGGAGGGAGCGGCCGAAGGUGAGGGGAGUAAGGGGGACUA
rnacentral:rRNA from 1 species